rnacentral:rRNA from 1 species
GAUGAACGCUAGCGAUAGGCCUAACACAUGCAAGUCGAGGGGCAGCACGAAAGCGUAGCAAUACAAUUUUGGUGGCGACCGGCGCACGGGUGAGUAACGCGUAUGCAACCUACCUACUACUUUGGGAUAGCUCGUUGAAAGACGAAUUAAUACCUUAUAAAACAGGGGCUCCGCAUGGAGAUAUUUGUUAAAGAUUUAUCGGUAGUAGAUGGGCAUGCGUUCCAUUAGUUAGUUGGUGAGGUAACGGCUCACCAAGACAACGAUGGAUAGGGGAACUGAGAGGUUUGUCCCCCACACUGGAACUGAGACACGGUCCAGACUCCUACGGGAGGCAGCAGUGAGGAAUAUUGGUCAAUGGAGGCAACUCUGAACCAGCCAAGUCGCGUGAAGGAUGACUGCCCUACGGGUUGUAAACUUCUUUUUUAAGGGAAUAAAGUGAGCCACGUGUGGCUUUUUGCAUGUACCUUACGAAUAAGGAUCGGC